rnacentral:rRNA from 1 species
ACUGUGGAGCUAAUACACGUAUGAAGAAGCUUGCCCUAUCAACCUCUCAAGGGGUUCGCUCCGAAGGAGGUGGGGUGGGCUGCUAUUGGCCGGUACAAAAACUAACGCCCGAUUAGGGCAGCAUUAACAGUUGAGGCAGGCCAAUCUUGCAAAAGCGCCUUUUUGGCGCGUUGCUGGACGAAUUUACCACCUAUCAGGUAGAUGGUAGUGUAGUGGACUACCAUGCCAAUGACGGGUAACGGGGGAUUGGGGUUCGAUUCCGGAGAGGGUGCCUGAGAAAUGGCAACCAUCGCUAUGGCGAGCAGCAGGCGCGCAAAUUGCCCAAUGCCGACUCGGUGAGGCAGCAACGAAAAAUAACAACUUCACCGCCUUAUGGCAUGAAGAUUGUAAUGAUUUGUAAACACACGUACUAAGAGUAUCCAUUGGAGGACAAGUCUGGUGCCAGCACCCGCGGUAAUACCAGCUCCAAGAGCGUAUAUUAAUGUUGCUGCGGUUAAAAAGCUCGUAGUUGGACGUAAGAGCCAAGGCUGUGGUUGGGUCCGUCGGCUGGAAGUUUCGACCGAAGGCUGACGUGGUCUGCCACAAUACGCUGAGGCUCUUUCAUCUUGUGGGAGUGGUUGCUUGCCGAAGCCACCUUAACUGGUGUGUGGAAGCUCUUUCGGAGUCUCUCGCUCCAUAAGGCACGCCCACAGAUGUUACUGUGAGUAAAACAGAAUGUUCAAAGUAAUCGGCUUGCCGAUUGAAUGUCAAAGCAUGGAAUAACAAGGGAUCGACCACUGUGGCCUCUUUUUGUUGGUUUUCAAGCCUCAGUGUGGUAACUCCGCGCAGGACUUCUCUUGGGCGUUCCUGGGUUCCUAUUCAGGUCGUUCUUGUAGAGUCCUGUUGCAUUCGGGAUCAAUAGGAGCGCGGGGAGCAAUCAGUACUUCGGGGUGAGAGGUGAAAUUCAUAGACCCCCGAAAGACUAACAUCAGCGAAAGCCGUUUGCUAUCGCGCUUUCAUUAAUCAAGAACGAGAGAAAGGGGAUCGAAGAUGAUCAGAUACCGUCGUAGUCCUUUCCGUAAAUGAUGCAGACUUGGGAUCGGUCACUGUUCUUCUAGUGACAUGAUCGGCACCUCAUUCCCUGUCGAGAAAUCAAAGUCUUUGUGUUCCGGGGGGAGUAUAUUCGCAAGGCUGAAACUUAAAGGAAUUGACGGAGAACCACCACCAGACGUGGAGUGUGUGGCUUAAUUCGACCCAACACGGGAAAUCUUUUAAACCUGUGUCGUGAUGGGGAUAGAUCAUUGAAAUUAUUGUCCUUGAACGAGGAAUGUCUUGUAGGCGCGUUUCAUCAGAACGCACCGAAUACGUCCCUGGUUCUUGUACACACCGCCCGUCGUUGCCUGUAAUGGCAUGUGAGUAGAACCGUUUGGAGGUUCCGUUAUUUAUAUCGGUCCAAAAUUCGGUAAUACUUGCAUGCUAGAAGAGGCAAAAGUCGUAACAAGGUUGCUGUAGGUGGACCUGCAG